rnacentral:misc_RNA from 1 species
GAUGAAGAACGUAGCAAAAUGCGAUAAGUAAUGUGAAUUGCAGAAUUCAGUGAAUCAUCGAAUCUUUGAACGCACAUUGCGCCCGCUGGUAUUCCGGCGGGCAUGCCUGUUCGAGCGUCAUUUCAACCCUCAAGCCCCCGGGUUUGGUGUUGGGGAUUGGCUCUGCCCUUCUGGGCGGUGCCGCCCCCGAAAUACAUUGGCGGUCUCGCUGCAGCCUCCAUUGCGUAGUAGCUAACACCUCGCAACUGGAACGCGGCGCGGCCAUGCCGUAAAACCCCAACUUCUGAAUGUUGACCUCGGAUCAGGUAGGAAUACCCGCUGAACUUAAGCAUAUCAAUAAGCGGAGGA